UACGUAGGUGGCAAGCGUUACUCGGAAUUACUAGGCGUAAAGCGCAGGUAGGUGGUGUGAUAAGUCCGUAAUGAAAUCCCCCGGCUUAACUGGGAGGGGUUUAGGGAUACUGUCAUGCUCGAGUGUGGGAGAGGUAACUGGAAUUCCUGGUGUAGCGGUGAAAUGCGUAGAGAUCAGGAGGAACACCUAUGGCGAAAGCAGGUUACUGGCCCAAUACUGACGCUGAGCUGCGAAAGCUAGGGGAGCAAACAGG
rnacentral:rRNA from 1 species